AAACUAUGAUGAGGACACUCUAAAAGAAGGUCUUUAAAAUGCUCCAUGCAUUGAGAAAAUGAUUCUUUGGGUCUUUGGCGAAACAGAAGAAUGUCAUUCCUAAGUUU
rfam:Cephalotus follicularis DNA, scaffold: scaffold42, isolate: St1.